UACGUAGGGGGCAAGCGUUGUCCGGCUUUAUUGGGCGUAAAGAGCGUGUAGGCGGCCAUGUAGGUCCGUUGUGAAAACUCGAGGCUCAACCUCGAGACGCCGAUGGAAACCAUGUGGCUAGAGUCCGGAAGAGGAGAAUGGAAUUCCCGGUGUAGCGGUGAAAUGCGCAGAUAUCGGGAAGAACACCCGUGGCGAAGGCGGUUCUCUGGGACGGUACUGACGCUGAGACGCGAAAGCGUGGGGAGCGAACAGG
rnacentral:rRNA from 1 species